rnacentral:rRNA from 1 species
CCUACGGGGUGCUGCAGUAGGGAAUCUUCCACAAUGGGCGCAAGCCUGAUGGAGCAACACCGCGUGAGUGAAGAAGGGUUUCGGCUCGUAAAGCUCUGUUGUUAGAGAAGAAAGUGAGUGAGAGUAACUGUUAGCGCAGUGACGGUAUCCAACCAGCAAGUCACGGCUAACGACGUGCCAGCAGCAGCGGUAAAACGUAGGUGGCAAGCGUUAUCCGGAUUUAUUGGGCGUAAAGCGGGCGCAGGCGGUUGCUUAGGUCUGGUGUGAAAGCCUUGGGCUUAACCGAAGAAGUGCAUCGGAAAUCGGGCAACUUGAGUGCAGGAGGGGAAAGUGGAACUCCAUGUGUAGCGGUGGAAUGCGUAGAUAUAUGGAAGAACACCAGUGGCGAAGGCGGCUGUCUGGUCUGCAACUGACGCUGAGGCUCGAAAGCAUGGGUAGCGAACAGGAUUAGAUACCCCUGUAGUC